GCUGUGGAAGCCCCAGACCAUGGAAGUCAGAGGCACCAAGCCCCUGGUGCAUACCCAGGUACCUGUGGACACCCAAAGAAGAAUUGGCUACAGGCUGUGUCUUUGGUUGAAGAUCUAGGGUACCAGUUGAUUUGGGACAUACCACUUGCGGAUGGGUUUUUAAUGUCUAUCGUAUCUAAUUAUACCAUAUGAGCAUGGGAUUCCACCAACUCUUACCAGCUAAGAAAGUGAUUCAAAUCCACAUGUAUAAUCUCUGUUUAUGCACAUGCGACAAUUAUCUGAAGUGAAGCCCUCUGAACAUCAGGCUUCAAUAAGCAGAACAAUA